rnacentral:lncRNA from 1 species
UUUGAAGGUCACGUACCUGGGGAAGUAAACUUUGAUGUAUGUAAAUUAAGUUCGAAUGUAUUAUUAUUUAGUAUUAUUCAGCUUAAAGAAAUGGUAUCGUGGAGAACCGAGUUCGGGUUUCAAGUAUCCGGAUUUGGGGUCGCCAUAGGAUACCAGCUUUGGUUCCCAUAAAUAUAGAUUUAUGAAGGAACCAAGCAGUAGUAGAAAGCUAAACAAAGAUAAGUAAUCCUAUGUGUGGGAAAUAAAUCAAAGGUUGUUGCAUUAGCCACAGGAACUUAUAGUUUAGCACAGCCUACGGGCAAAUCUAUUAAGUCAAUAAGUUGUUAUUGUAUUCCAGUUUUCGUUAAAAAUAUUAUUUCCAUUUUAUUUUUG